rnacentral:rRNA from 1 species
AUGAAGGAUCUAGGAGUAGCUGAUGUUAUCUUAAACAUCAAGUUGUUUAGAGAUGAGAAUGGUGGGUUCACACUGCUUCAGUCUCACUAUGUGGAAAAGGUCUUGAGUCGUUUUGGGUAUAGCGACUGCACGCCUUCUCCAACUCCAUAUGAUGCUAGUGUUGUCACCAGGCCUGACAUCUCUUUUGCUGUGAGCAAGCUGAGUCGGUUUGUGUCAAAAUCGGGAGAUGAUCAUUGGCAUGCGCUUGAGAGAGUUAUGCGCUAUUUGAAAGGCACUGCGAGCUAUGGGAUUCACUACACCGGGUAUCCAAGGGUACUGGAGGGUUAUAGUGACUCAAACUGGAUAUCUGAUGCUGAUGAGAUUAAGGCCACAAGUGGUUAUGUUUUUACACUUGGUGGUGGCGCCAUUUCUUGGAAGUCUUGCAAGCAGACUAUCUUAACAAGGUCAACUAUGGAAGCAGAACUCACAUCAUUAGACACUGCCACUGUUGAAGCAGAGUGGCUUCGUGAGCUCUUGAUGGACUUACCUAUGGUUGAAAAACCAAUACCCCCUAUCCUGAUGAACUGUGAUCGUCAAGAUAAACAGUUCUAA